rnacentral:rRNA from 1 species
GGUACCCUACGGGGCGCAGCAGUGGGGGAUAUUGCACAAUGGGGGAAACCCUGAUGCAGCGACGCCGCGUGGGUGAAGAAGCGCCUCGGCGCGUAAAGCCCUGUCAGCAGGGAAGAAAAUGACGGUACCUGAAGAAGAAGCCCCGGCUAACUACGUGCCAGCAGCCGCGGUAAUACGUAGGGGGCAAGCGUUAUCCGGAUUUACUGGGUGUAAAGGGGGCGCAGACGGCGAUGCAAGUCAGGAGUGAAAGCCCGGGGCCCAACCCCGGGACUGCUCUUGGAACUGCGUGGCUAGAGUGCAGGGGG